UUGCGCUGGAGCCGUCCUUGAAAUACCACCCUUGUAUGUUUGAUGUUCUAACGCAGGGCCCUGAAUCGGGCUCGCGGACAGUGCCUGGUGGGUAGUUUGACUGGGGCGGUCUCCUCCCAAAGAGUAACGGAGGAGCACGAAGGUUGGCUAAUCCUGGUCGGACAUCAGGAGGUUAGUGCAAUGGCAUAAGCCAGCUUAACUGCGAGACGGACAGGUCGAGCAGGUACGAAAGUAGGUCAUAGUGAUCCGGUGGUUCUGAAUGGAAGGGCCAUCGCUCAACGGAUAAAAGGUACUCCGGGGAUAACAGGCUGAUACCGCCCAAGAGUUCAUAUCGACGGCGGUGUUUGGCACCUCGAUGUCGGCUCAUCACAUCCUGGGGCUGAAGUCGGUCCCAAGGGUAUGGCUGUUCGCCAUUUAAAGUGGUACGCGAGCUGGGUUCAGAACGUCGUGAGACAGUUCGGUCCCUAUCUGCCGUGGGCGUUGGAUGAUUGAAGGGAGUUGCUCCUAGUACGAGAGGACCGGAGUGAACGAACCUCUGGUGUUCGGGUUGUCACGCCAGUGGCACUGCCCGGUAGCUAAGUUCGGAAUCGAUAACCGCUGAAAGCAUCUAAGCGGGAAGCGAGCCCUGAGAUGAGUCAUCCCUGACCCCUUGAGGGUCCUAAAGGGCCGUUGGAGACCACAACGUUGAUAGGUGGGGUGUGUAAGCGCGGCGACGUGUUGAGCUAACCCAUACUAAUUACCCGUGAGGCUUAACCAUACAACACCCAAGAAGUGUUCU
rnacentral:rRNA from 1 species